rnacentral:rRNA from 1 species
AUGGAGAAGAGGAAGAAGGAGGAGGAGGAGGAGAAUCCGCCGGCAGCGGGGAGCCUCUGGGACGACCUCCUGCCUGAGAUCCACCGGGAGAUCCUGUCGCGGGUGCCGUACCGGUCGCUCUGCCGCUUCAAAUGCGUGUCCACGGCGUGGCUGACGCUCACCGGCUUCUUCUGCUACUCCCAAGUGGACGUCGGCGGCGGCCGGCGCCAUUACGGCGUCAGCUUCCUCAACCUAUCCGGGUGGGGCCGGCCGAUGGUCGACGACCCCUCCCUCAGCUUCGUGCGGGGCUACCGCCACGUCACGCCCAUUCACUGCUGCAGCGGCAUUCUCAUCUGCUACUGCUGGAAGUUUGACAUGAGCGACGAGGCGGAUUUUGUCGUGUGCAACCCUGCCACCAAGGAGAUCUGGGCCGCGCUGCCGGUGCCCCAGAAUGAGAUGAUGACGCGCCUCAACACCGCCCGCCUGUGCUUUGACCCGGCUAUUCCCCGCCGCUUCAAGGUGUUUGUGUUCGUGCAAAGUUUCGCUGGGGUUCAGAGGGUGGAGGUCUACUCUUCAGACACCGGGCAGUGGACCUCCGUUGGGAGCGCGUGGAGCUCCGAGAACCUCAUGAUUGCCGAGGAAUCGGGAUGCGUCUACUUCAAUGGAUCUCUGCAUCUGGCUGUUUGCCAUCCUGUGGUCAAGGUGGUGGACUGGGAGGGACGCCUAUACACCGGGCAUGUAGAAAAUGAAGGUAGAUGCCGGCUCUUGGUGUGGGUUCUCGAGGAUCAUGCUAGCGGACUGUGGACCCUGAAGUGUACUGCCAGCAUUCUUGAACUGCUAGGAAGCCCUUGCCGUGCACCCAACGAAUUCUACCAGGCGGUUGCGAUCCAUCCAGACUGCAAUCUGAUAUUCCUUGAAGAUGCGGGGCAGGAAGCAUUGCUUAUGUCCUACAAUAUGGAUACCGGUAAACUGGAUAUUGUCUGCUCUCUUGGAGACCGCUGGGCGCAAAGAUUUCACCCCUACAUUCCCUGUUUUGUGGAGAAGCCGCCCGUUCCUCAGUGA